CCUACGGGGGCUGCAGUGGGGAAUAUUGGACAAUGGGCGAAAGCCUGAUCCAGCCAUGCCGCGUGUGUGAAGAAGGCCUUCGGGUUGUAAAGCACUUUCAGUGGGGAAGAAAGCCUUGGGGCUAAUACCCUCGAGGAAGGACAUCACCCACAGAAGAAGCACCGGCUAACUCCGUGCCAGCAGCCGCGGUAAUACGGAGGGUGCGAGCGUUAAUCGGAAUUACUGGGCGUAAAGCGCGCGUAGGCGGUCUGAUAAGCCGGUUGUGAAAGCCCCGGGCUCAACCUGGGAACGGCAUCCGGAACGGUCAGGCUAGAGUGCAGGAGAGGAAGAGAGAAUUCCCGGUGUAGCGGUGAAAUGCGUAGAGAUCGGGAGGAAUACCAGUGGCGAAGGCGGCAUUCUGGACUGACACUGACGCUGAGGUGCGAAAGCGUGGGUAGCAAACAGGAUUAGAUACCCCGGUAGUC
rnacentral:rRNA from 1 species